AUUGAACGCUGGCGGCAGGCCUAACACAUGCAAGUCGAACGAGUGGCGGACGGGUGAGUAAUGUCUGGGAAACUGCCUGAUGGAGGGGGAUAACUACUGGAAACGGUAGCUAAUACCGCAUACCAUCGGAUGUGCCCAGAGGGGAGUAGCUAGUAGGUGGGGUAAAGGCUCACCUAGGCGACGAUCCCUAGCUGGUCGGAGAGGAGGAAAAGCCACACUGGAACUGGGAAACGGUCCAGACUCCUACGGGAGGCAGCAGCGGGGAAUAUUGCACAAUGGGCGCAAGCCGGAUGCAGCCAUGCCGCGUGUAUGAAGAAGGCCUUCGGGUUGUAAAGUACUUUCAGCGGGGAGGCGUUACCCGCAGAAGAAGCACCGGCUAACUACGUGCCAGCAGCCGCGGUAAUAC
rnacentral:rRNA from 1 species